AGCGAACGCUGGCGGCAGGCUUAACACAUGCAAGUCGAGCGGGCACUUUCGGGUGUCCGCGGCGGACGGGUGAGUAACGCGUGGGAACGUGCCCUCUGGUUCGGAAUAACUCAGGGAAACUUGAGCUAAUACCGGAUACGCCCUUUUGGGGAAAGGCUUGCUGCCGGAGGAUCGGCCCGCGUCUGAUUAGCUAGUUGGUGAGGUAACGGCUCACCAAGGCGACGAUCAGUAGCUGGUCUGAGAGGAUGAUCAGCCACACUGGGACUGAGACACGGCCCAGACUCCUACGGGAGGCAGCAGUGGGGAAUAUUGGACAAUGGGCGCAAGCCUAGUCCAGCCAUGCCGGGUGAGUGAUGAAGGCCUUAGGGUUGUAAAGCUCUUUUAUCCGGGACGAUAAUGACGGUACCGGAGGAAUAAGCCCCGGCUAACUUCGUG
rnacentral:rRNA from 1 species